rnacentral:sRNA from 1 species
UCUACUACAGCCUGGACGGUGCGGUUGA